GUAACCUGCGGAAGGACAUUG
rnacentral:rRNA from 1 species